rnacentral:rRNA from 1 species
CGGCAGGCUUAACACAUGCAAGUCGAACGAGGUUAGAAAGCUUGCUUUUGAUACCUAGUGGCGGACGGGUGAGUAAUGCUUAGGAAUCUGCCUAGUAGUGGGGGAUAACUUGGGGAAACUCAAGCUAAUACCGCAUACGACCUACGGGUGAAAGGGGGCGCAAGCUCUCGCUAUUAGAUGAGCCUAAGUCGGAUUAGCUAGUUGGUGGGGUAAAGGCCUACCAAGGCGACGAUCUGUAGCUGGUCUGAGAGGAUGAUCAGCCACACUGGGACUGAGACACGGCCCAGACUCCUACGGGAGGCAGCAGUGGGGAAUAUUGGACAAUGGGCGAAAGCCUGAUCCAGCCAUGCCGCGUGUGUGAAGAAGGCCUUUUGGUUGUAAAGCACUUUAAGUGGGGAGGAAAAGCUAAUGGUUAAUACCCAUUAGCCCUGACGUUACCCACAGAAUAAGCACCGGCUAACUCUGUGCCAGCAGCCGCGGUAAUACAGAGGGUGCAAGCGUUAAUCGGAAUUACUGGGCGUAAAGCGCGCGUAGGUGGUUACUUAAGUCAGAUGUGAAAGCCCCGGGCUUAACCUGGGAACUGCAUCUGAUACUGGGUGACUAGAGUAGGUGAGAGGGAAGUAGAAUUCCAGGUGUAGCGGUGAAAUGCGUAGAGAUCU